CGGCAGAUGAAGUCCAUC
rnacentral:miRNA from 1 species